CAAAAUUCCUACUGUGAUCACAGAAACUUUAUAGUAUAGUACAAACCAGGGUUGCAGAUUAUGUCCAUUUAUGAAUUCCGCCGGAAUGCCUAUUCUAUGGCCUUGGUCUCAUUCCUUUUGAAUACCACAAGUAAAUAUAUGUCGUGUUUGCAUGUCGAGGUUUCACAGUUUAAUUAAAAAACAAUAAAAAUGUCAAAACAUGUUCCCACAGAUUAUCAACUUCAGACGUAGCCAGCGCGUUGGAUUGGAAUCGCUGUGUCUGUUUUGUCUUGUUCACGGUCUAAAACCAACGGUGUUGUCACCACCAUUGGCAUUGAGUUCCCAUAACUGCGAAAAAAAUAACACCAACUUGUUUUAAGGCGACGCCUGCGUCAUGCAAACAACACAGAAUAACCUUUACCCUCGCAAGGACAAGGAACAAAGCGUUGUUUACUCACAGCUUCGUGUUAACCGCUCUUUUUUCCAAAAUAAAGCAUAUAAUUGACUUGCCAAAAAAUAGAGUCGAGAAUAUGCGCCCAGCUGGUUCGUUUUGUUGUGGUUUGUGGACCAUUAAAGUUCAGACCGCGUUUUACGACUUUGGACAGCUACUUAUACA